rnacentral:rRNA from 1 species
CUUUACUGUAGCUUUACAUUGGACUUUGAACAGAUCUGUGUAGGAUAGGUGGGAGGCUUUGAAGCGGUGCCGCUAGGUGUCGUGGAGCCAACGUUGAAAUACCACCCUGGUGUGUUUGAGGUUCUAACCUUGUCCCGUUAUCCGGGAUGGGGACAGUGUAUGGUGGGCAGUUUGACUGGGGCGGUCUCCUCCCAAAGUGUAACGGAGGAGUUCGAAGGUACGCUAGCCACGGUCGGAAAUCGUGGUGAUAGUGCAUUGGCAUAAGCGUGCUUGACUGCGAGACUGACAAGUCGAGCAGGUACGAAAGUAGGACAAAGUGAUCCGGUGGUUCUGUAUGGAAGGGCCAUCGCUCAACGGAUAAAAGGUA